rnacentral:rRNA from 1 species
UCGAGCAGAGGGAAAAGGAGUAAUCCGCUUUGAGAUGGCCUCGCGUCCGAUUAGCUAGUUGGUGAGGUAAUGGCCCACCAAGGCGACGAUCGGUAGCCGGACUGAGAGGUUGAACGGCCACAUUGGGACUGAGACACGGCCCAGACUCCUACGGGAGGCAGCAGUGGGGAAUAUUGCACAAUGGGGGAAACCCUGAUGCAGCGACGCCGCGUGGAGGAAGAAGGUCUUCGGAUUGUAAACUCCUGUUGUUGAGGAAGAUAAUGACGGUACUCAACAAGGAAGUGACGGCUAACUACGUGCCAGCAGCCGCGGUAAAACGUAGGUCACAAGCGUUGUCCGGAAUUACUGGGUGUAAAGGGAGCGCAGGCGGGAGAACAAGUUGGAAGUGAAAUCCAUGGGCUCAACCCAUGAACUGCUUUCAAAACUGUUUUUCUUGAGUAGUGCAGAGGUAGGCGGAAUUCCCGGUGUAGCGGUGGAAUGCGUAGAUAUCGGGAGGAACACCAGUGGCGAAGGCGGCCUACUGGGCACCAAUUGACGCUGAGGCUCGAAAGUGUGGGUAGCAAACAGGAUUAGAUACCCUGGUAGUCCACACCGUAAACGAAGAUUACUAGGUGUUGGAGGAUGGACCCCUUCAGUGCCGCAGUUAACACAAUAAGUAAUCCACCUGGGGAGUACGACCGCAAGGUUGAAACUCAAAGGAAUUGACGGGGGCCCGCACAAGCAGUGGAGUAUGUGGUUUAAUUCGACGCAACGCGAAGAACCUUACCAAGUCUUGACAUCCCUUGACGAUGCUGGAAACAGCAUUUCUCUUCGGAGCAAGGAGACAGGUGGUGCAUGGUUGUCGUCAGCUCGUGUCGUGAGAUGUUGGGUUAAGUCCCGCAACGAGCGCAACCCUUAUGGUCAGUUACUACGCAAGAGGACUCUGGCCAGACUGCCGUUGACAAAACGGAGGAAGGUGGGGAUGACGUCAAAUCAUCAUGCCCUUUAUGACUUGGGCUACACACGUACUACAAUGGCGUUAAACAAAGAGAAGCAAGACCGCGAGGUGGAGCAAAACUCAGAAACAACGUCCCAGUUCGGACUGCAGGCUGCAACUCGCCUGCACGAAGUCGGAAUUGCUAGUAAUCGUGGAUC